rnacentral:rRNA from 2 species
GGAGGAAAAGAACUAACAAGGAUUCCCCUAGUAACUGCGAGUGAAGCGGGAAAAGCUCAAAUUUAAAAUCUGACAGUCUCUGGCUGUCCGAGUUGUAAUCUAGAGAAGUGAUGCCCGCGCUGGACCGUGUACAAGUCUCCUGGAAUGGAGCGUCAUAGAGGGUGAGAAUCCCGUCUCUGACACGGACUACCAGGGCUUUGUGGUACGCUCUCAAAGAGUCGAGUUGUUUGGGAAUGCAGCUCAAAAUGGGUGGUAAAUUCCAUCUAAAGCUAAAUAUUGGCGAGAGACCGAUAGCGAACAAGUACCGUGAGGGAAAGAUGAAAAGAACUUUGGAAAGAGAGUUAAACAGUACGUGAAAUUGCUGAAAGGGAAACGCUUGAAGUCAGUCGCGUUGGCYGGGGAUCAGCCUCGCUCUUUUGCGUGGUGUACUUUCYGGUUGACGGGUCAGCAUCAAUUUUGACCGCUGGAAAAAGGCUUGAGGAAUGUGGCAGCUCCGGCUGUGUUAUAGCUUCAUGUCACAUACAGCGGUUGGGAUUGAGGAACUCAGCRCGCCGCAAGGCCGGGUUUCGACCACGUUCGUGCUUAGGAUGCUGGCAUAAUGGCUUUA